UAGGGUACAAACUUAAACAUGACAUAUUUUUUUUGCGAAUUUUAAUGCACAAUUACUAAUUAUUUGCUGAAUUUAACGGUUUGAAAAAAUAGAACAUUAAAUGUAGCAGGUGCUUUUAGGCACCAUUCCAGUCGAUCAAUUAAUAAUGAAUACUUCAAAACAGGACUAGGCUAUGAUAGAACUAAGAGCAAUUUCUGGAGUCUUUGUUGUGGUGCAGUGGUAGUGUUUCAUGAUAUUACAAGAUUAAAUAUCUAUCACUUAUUUGGGGAAGAUUUCGGUAAUUUUGUUCUGCCUUAUAUUUAUUCAUUUUUCUCCAGUAUUUUAAGAAUAUGAAUAAUUUCAAGACAACUCAGAAAUGGACCGUAUAAAUCUUCCCCUGUAAUUAAAAUAAAUUUAGUUUAAUGAUGGGAACAUGUCAGUUGUUUGGUAAUGGUGAUUCCUCCGUUGCUCGUGGCGUUCUGCUCUUUAUAGACGCUCCCUCCAGGAAUGCCUUUGCAAAGUUGCUGUUGGGUGUACAGGCAAGAUGCCACAAAUACUUAGAGAGCUAUGUGAAUGUUUGCAGCAGGUAUUUUGCACUGCUAAAGUUUGCUACAUCGCGCGUGCAGUGCUACACAAGUAGAUCCAGCUCUGUGAAGCCUCUAGUUUUAUGGAGGUGAAGAUCCAUCCGUCCAUCCUUACUCUCCAUCCUCCUCCUGUUUUUCCACCUUUUGUUUUAUUUUUCUCUCCUUCACACCUCUGCUGUUACAUCGCUCCCUGCUUGCCCUUCUCUAUCCUUUCCCCAUGCUCCCUCUCUCUAUCCCUCUUUUCCCUCCACCUCUUUCCUCUCUCACUUCAUCUCUCGCUUCUGUGCCAUUAAGUUCAGCCCUGACACUGACACUGACUCGCUUUGUCACCCUUCUCUCUCCCUCUAUCUCACCACCUCUCUCUUGACCUCCCUCCUUUUCCCUCUCUCUCUCUCUCUCUCUCACUGCCUCUCCAUCCAUUGCUCCGAGGAGAAGAGUGCCUGCAGAUGCUUUUUUUCUCUUUCCCAGCCCUCCCUCACUCUCUCCCUCUCUUUGCAAACAUUUCUCACAGUCACCAAAGCAAGGGAGAGAAGAGGAGGAGUAGAGAACGAGGGAAGGGGGGACCACAGAAGAGGCCAAAAGAAGCGGCUAUUUACUCAACCUUCCCUUUCCUAGUGGCCGCUCUUGGUGGAGUUAUAGGGGAGGUCAAGGGUCGCAGGAGGGAAGGGGAGAAGGUCACAGUCAGAGCGAGCGAAAGUAUUGUGUAUGAGAACUCGACCAUGCUGAACCUACAAAGUGGGUCAGACUGGACCGGGCCGAGCAGCUGGUACGACCAGCCGGCCCCGGUGGAAACGCAGCACAGCACAGUGGGCUGUUUGGGGACAGCGGAAGGGAGGAUGGGGAGAAGAGGACAAGGGGAGC